GGGCAGUUUCAGGGCAGUUUUGGCUUUGUUGUUGGGAAAUCCACUAGGCCUUCUAUAUUUCCGCUUGCGUCAGGCUUGUGUCCUUCCUCCGCCCCGCCCCCAAAUCACCUAGUCCCAGUCAUUUCAUGUGAAAAAGCGCUGAAUAUUAAAAAAAUAUAAAUAAAAAUAGAAGGCCUAGGUCUAGGCUGGGCUUUGUAAUCAUUUAUUUAAACCAGAGUAGCGAGCGAAACAUGACUGAUAUACCUGGUUGCAGUGAACGAAC